rnacentral:tRNA from 1 species
GGUCGCUUAGCUCAGUUGGUUAGAGCGUGGUGCUAAUAUUGGCAGUCCUCCCUGAGGACUCACGAGUUGACGCCAAGGUCGCGAGUUCGACCCUCGUAGUGACCA